rnacentral:rRNA from 1 species
ACUCCACAUACGCAUCCUUUGCUGAGGAUGCGGUUAACGGAGCGAAAGCGACGUUCAACCGCAAAAGAAGCAGAGGGGGCUUAGUGGUGGGGUGACUGCGUACCUUUUGUAUAAUGGGUCAGCGACUUAUAUUCUGUAGCAAGGUUAACCGAAUAGGGGAGCCGGAGGGAAACCGAGUCUUAAUUGGGCGUUAAGUUGCAGGGUAUAGACCCGAAACCCGGUGAUCUAGCCAUGGGCAGGUUGAAGGUUGGGUAACACUAACUGGAGGACCGAACCGACUAAUGUUGAAAAAUUAGCGGAUGACCUGUGGCUGGGGGUGAAAGGCCAAUCAAACCGGGAGAUAGCUGGUUCUCCCCGAAAGCUAUUUAGGUAGCGCCUCGUGAAUUCAUCUCCGGGGGUAGAGCACUGUUUCGGCUAGGGGGCCAUCCCGGCUUACCAACCCGAUGCAAACUGCGAAUACCGGAGAAUGUUAUCACGGGAGACACACGGCGGGUGCUAACGUCCGUCGUGAAGAGGGAAACAACCCAGACCGCCAGCUAAGGUCCCAAAGUCAUGGUUAAGUGGGAAACGAUGUGGGAAGGCCCAGACAGCCAGGAUGUUGGCUUAGAAGCAGCCAUCAUUUAAAGAAAGCGUAAUAGCUCACUGGUCGAGUCGGCCUGCGCGGAAGAUGUAACGGGGCUAAACCAUG